rnacentral:misc_RNA from 1 species
GAUGAAGAACGUAGCGAAAUGCGAUAAGUAGUGUGAAUUGCAGAAUUCAGUGAAUCAUCGAAUCUUUGAACGCACAUUGCGCCCCUCGGUAUUCCGUGGGGCAUGCCUGUUCGAGCGUCAUUUACACCCUCAAGCUCUGCUUGGUGUUGGGGAUCGGCUCUGCCCUUCUGGGCGGUGCCGCCCCCGAAAUACAUUGGCGGUCUCGCUGCAGCCUCCAUUGCGUAGUAGCUAACACCUCGCAACUGGAACGCGGCGCGGCCAUGCCGUAAAACCCCAACUUCUGAAUGUUGACCUCGGAUCAGGUAGGAAUACCCGCUGAACUUAAGCAUAUCAAUAAGCGGAGGA